rnacentral:rRNA from 1 species
AACGAACGCUGGCGGCAGGCUUAACACAUGCAAGUCGAGCGCCUCGCAAGAGGAGCGGCCGACGGGUGAGUAACGCGUGGGAACGUACCCUUAUCUUCGGAAUAGCUCUGGGAAACUGGAAGUAAUACCGAAUGUGCCCUUAGGGGGAAAGAUUUAUCGGAUAAGGAUCGGCCCGCGUUGGACUAGCUAGUUGGUGGGGUAAAGGCCUACCAAGGCGACGAUCCAUAGCUGGUCUGAGAGGAUGAUCAGCCACAUUGGGACUGAGACACGGCCCAAACUCCUACGGGAGGCAGCAGUGGGGAAUAUUGCACAAUGGGCGCAAGCCUGAUCCAGCCAUGCCGCGUGAGUGAUGAAGGCCUUAGGGUUGUAAAGCUCUUUCACCGGAGAAGAUAAUGACGGUAUCCGGAGAAGAAGCCCCGGCUAACUUCGUG